UACGUAGGGUGCAAGCGUUGUCCGGAAUUAUUGGGCGUAAAGAGCUCGUAGGCGGUCUGUCGCGUCGGGUGUGAAAAUCCAGGGCUUAACCCUGGACCUGCAUUCGAUACGGGCAGACUAGAGUCCGGAAGAGGAGAAUGGAAUUCCUGGUGUAGCGGUGAAAUGCGCAGAUAUCAGGAAGAACACCCGUGGCGAAGGCGGUUCUCUGGGACGGUACUGACGCUGAGACGCGAAAGCGUGGGGAGCGAACAGG
rnacentral:rRNA from 1 species